AGGGGUAUAGUUCAGUUGGUAGAACGUCGGUCUCCAAAACCGAAUGCCGUGGGUUCGAGUCCUGCUACCCCUG
rnacentral:tRNA from 2 species